UAGAAAGAGGUUUGCUCGUUGGCCCUGAC
rnacentral:piRNA from 1 species